rnacentral:sRNA from 1 species
CACUGUUGACGCCUGAUAAUUUCUCCGGACAGGGAAAGGGCCGCUCUUCGGAGCGGCCCUUUUUUUUGUACGAA